GUCCACGCCGUAAACGAUGGGCACUAGGCGUCGGGGGAGUGACCCUCCCGGUGCCGUCGCUAACGCAGUAAGUGCCCCGCCUGGGGAGGUACUGCCGCAAGGCUGAAACUCAAAGGAAUUGACGGGGGCCCGCACAAGCGGUGGAGCAUGUGGUUUAAUUCGAAGCAACGCGAAGAACCUUACCUGGGCUUGACAUGCACGGGAAAGCCGGUGGAAACAUCGGCCCCUCUUCGGAGUCCGUGCACAGGUGCUGCAUGGCUGUCGU
rnacentral:rRNA from 1 species